UGCUCUUGUGUGGCGACCCCAAAUCUGGAUACUUGAAACCCAAACUCGGUUCUCCACGAUACCAUUUCUUUAAGCUGAAUAAUACUAAAUAAUAAUACAUUCGAACUUAAUUUACAUACAUCAAAGUUUACUUCCCCAGGUACGUGACCUUCAAAUACAUUCCUUACAAUACCUGACAAUAGAUUCCAUUGUCUUACUAACUAUAACCAUUAACUCAUACUAAAUCUCAUUCGAACAACUUUUCUUUUCCCUUAUUCGUGCCUGAGCCUUCAGGUCGAUCGUACGUAACUGAAAACAUUUAUUUUAAGCAAGGAUAAGCAUUUGAGUGCCCAGCAAGUAAUAGCAAUUAUAUAUAUAAGCUGAAAGAAUAUAAGUAUUCUCUUUACAUAACACUUCU
rnacentral:lncRNA from 1 species